UCUUCAGAUCUUCAAAACGUAUCACUCUCCAAAUUAUCUUUCUCCUCUCUCUCUCUCUCUCUCUCUCUCUCUCUCCCUCUUUAAAACCCAGCACCGCCACCAUCUCCACCUCCACCUUCAACCCACCUCCACCGUCACCUUCAACCCACCUCCACCUCCACCUUCAACCCACCUCCACCGUCAUCUUCCUCUUCUCUCUCUUUCUCCCUGUUUAGGGAUUAUUAUUAACAACACUUGUAUAGUGACAGGCAGCCUGCCAGAUUUAUCGGAACGGUGAUGAAACCGGCUACGGUUGCCGCAACGGUGGACAUGUCCAUCGGCCAGAUAUUUUCCCCAAGUCGUUGAAUAUCUACAGCGUCAAAGAGAAAUAAUUUUUGAAUCAUAGAAGAUGGUGAGACCGUAUGCACUUUAAGGGGCGAAAGAGGAAGAAGAACAAAACAGAAAGAUCCUUAUGUUGAGUGGUGUCUUGUGUUUAGAAAAAAACAACACGGAAGUGUGCACUAGUGGAGGUGAGAUAUUUUUAUUUAAUUUUGUGAUCACACGUUUGGAGCGGCAAAUUUAUUUGGGUUGUAUUUUGAUCAUAUGUAGCAACUGAUAUGAGUGGAUAUUGAAGUUCUUAUCUUUUUUCUGGCCAGAUUCGUUUUUUUUUUUUCGACGGGUUUGAGUGGUGGUGCUGGUGGUUUGGGCAGUGUAGUGGUGGUGGAGGUGGUGGUUGUAUUAUGGUUUUUUUUUUUUUUUAUGUAACUUGAAUGUUAAAUGACUUUUAUCAACUGUGAUAAGUAUGGAUAGUUAAAUAAUUUUCAGCUUAUACAGACGAUAUCCAGUUUAUAAAACAAACAGUAUUAUAUUUUCAGCUUGCAGAUCUUCAGACCACAUCUUCAGUUGCAGACAUAAAAUCAGCUGAAAUCAGACUGCAGACAGUUUUUGUCUGCAAAAACAAACAGCACCUUAGUGUUAAUGUUUUUAACAUGAAUAAAUGUACCGGUCUGACAACCCAUAACUGUGAAACACGUCAACCCAUCAACACGGCACGAUUUAGACCAUCAACCAACAUGUGCGGAUGUUGAACCGCUUUCUACAAUACACUGUGUCCACUAUCCAUUCUCUAUUCUCUAGGCCCAUUUAGAUGUUGAUGUUUGUGGCUCUCUCUAUCAAAAAGUCAGGUACUUUUUUAGUAGGUCAAACCGGUUGGGUCCGGUUGAAAGAAUCUGGCCCAUGACAAUGUCAUGUAAUGUAACUUAUUCUCCAAAACAUUAAUUGGUUGACAUGAA